GGGUGGGUGGGAUGUGGGGUAUCGGAGCAGGGGCUUUCCAGGAGACACAGGACCUAUCAAAGAGGAGAGCCAGACUCACAAUAAAACCUACCACUGAGGGAAUGCACCACGGACCAGGAUUCAUCUGAGGGACAGCUCUUGGGUUCAGGAGAGAAUCCAUGUAAAGUUCUCAGCCAGCCUGAAAGUUUACUAAUACAAGGCUGAUGAAUCUUAAAGUGCAUUAUUCCUCAUGGUUAAAACGCUGUGUUCAUGCAGUAAUGUAUAAAAUCAUUGUGUGUAGGGUUUCUUCCUGCUUUUCACAGGAUAAAAGAAUCUUCAAAGAGGCCAUACUAUAUAGCAUACUGACCAUAAUGACUAACUGAAGUCAAUUUAUCCCUGUAGAAAAUGGGAGCCAGUAGAGAAAUAUUUGUAGUGCUGUAGCAUAAGCAUGUUUAGUUUUCUUUUAUGUUAGUCUGCUGGGGAAGGAGCUGAGAUAAUGCUAAUGCAUCCUGUUUUGUGGAUGAAUACACGGUAAUGACCUCACAAAGUUCUGUUUGUAAUAUUGAAGGGCCAGUAACCAAUAAGCUCAGUUUUCACAGUC
rnacentral:lncRNA from 10 species